rnacentral:rRNA from 1 species
CAUGGUGACGUGUGUAAUUCAUAAGUGAUACCACCAUCUCGUCAAAUCGUGGAAGCUAAGCAGGGCUGGACCUAGUUAGUACUUGGAUGGGAAAUCACUGGGAAUACCAGAUGUCACAGUGG